AGAAUUCUGGAGGCUGGAAAGUCCAAGAUCAUGGUGCUGGAAGAUUCAGUGUCUGUUAUGGUGGCUGGGAAGUCCAAGGUCAAGACACCAGUAGAUUCGGAAUCUGAAAAAGAAGCUAUAUCUGGAAGCUUCACUUCUAGUAUCGGAAGACCUAUACAUCAUUCAGUAUGGAAGCCAAGAGGGGUGUAAUUUCAGCUUCUGAAGGCACUUUCAAAAAACCAUAUGAAAGAUGCUGUAUUUGAAGCCCAACUAUAUUAAGCCUUGGUUGGAGACCUUUUAUGAUCCUCAGAAGACUUAUAAAGGAGUUUAGCAAAGAGCAAAUGAGAGUGUGAAUAGAGCAAAGGUUUUCCCCCUACAGAUAUAUUAUCAGUCUUUGGAUGAAGCGGGGAAUCCCUUGAAAUAAUAGUCAAGAUUUUUUUUUUCUCCCAUGUGCAUACAGAAAGAAGCCAUCAUAUUCUCAAAAGGAUCUCUACACAAAACAAAAGAAAAGAUGGUCUGUUAAUAAUGAAAAUAGUCAGAUGGUUUCCGAGAGGCAGAAUCCAGGAAGGGGAAUUGCUCGUUCACAGUAAAAAUAUUUGUUUUACUAAACUGGUGUUACCUCUUACCCUUGCUUCCAAUGCCACUGGAUCCCUCCUCUACCCCCCACCCCAAAUGGUCUGUACUGACUUCUACUCACAAAUAAAUAGAGUCCUACCAGUGCACUUUAGAUGGAAAGAGAUAAAAAAAGAAAAAUUAAGGUAAAUUUCUCUCUAUGUCUAUGGGAAGGAGAUUAACAGCUUUUUUCAAAUACAGAAUUUUAAGAUUAGGCAGAAUCCUUUAAUAAGUGAGGUAAUUAGAUGAUCAACUGCUCAUUUGCUCUCAGAUUCAUCUUCUCUCUUCACCUGCUCUGCAUUUCAGGAAACUAUCUUCCAGACUCUCUUGUUUUCUGCAAAGUGAGGCCCCAAUGGAAGAGCGGACGUUAAGAAAGGGAAGUCAAACAUCCCAGAAAGGGCUGGCCUCCUCCACUGAGCCAGCGUCUACUGGGCGGUUCUCUCUAUGGUC